UGGGGAAUAUUGCACAAUGGGCGAAAGCCUGAUGCAGCGACGCCGCGUGAGGGACGAAGGUCUUCGGAUCGUAAACCUCUUUCAGCAGGGACGAAGCGAAAGUGACUGUACCUGCAGAAGAAGCACCGGCUAACUACGUGCCAGCAGCCGCGGUAAUACGUAGGGUGCAAGCGUUGUCCGGAUUUAUUGGGCGUAAAGAGCUCGUAGGCGGUUCGUCACGUCGGAUGUGAAAACCUGGGGCUUAACCCCGGGCCUGCAUACGAUACGGGCGAACUAGAGUUCGGUAGGGGAGACUGGAAUUCCUGGUGUAGCGGUGAAAGGCGCAGAUAUCAGGAGGAACACCGGUGGCGAAGGCGGGUCUCUGGGCCGAUACUGACGCUGAGGAGCGAAAGCGUGGGGAGCAAACA
rnacentral:rRNA from 1 species